GGCUUAGUGGUCUAGUAGUAUGAUUCCUCCUUCGGGUUCUAUCCCGGCCUUCUACGAGGCUUCAUUGGAGGAGGUCCCGGGUUCAAUUCCCGGCUGAGCCC